rnacentral:rRNA from 1 species
GAUGAACGCUGGCGGCGUGCCUAAUACAUGCAAGUCGAGCGAACAGACGAGGAGCUUGCUCCUUCGACGUUAGCGGCGGACGGGUGAGUAACACGUAGGUAACCUACCUAUAAGACUGGGAUAACUUCGGGAAACCGGAGCUAAUACCGGAUAAUAUUUCGAACCGCAUGGUUCGAUAGUGAAAGAUGGCUUUGCUAUCACUUAUAGAUGGACCUGCGCCGUAUUAGCUAGUUGGUAAGGUAACGGCUUACCAAGGCAACGAUACGUAGCCGACCUGAGAGGGUGAUCGGCCACACUGGAACUGAGACACGGUCCAGACUCCUACGGGAGGCAGCAGUAGGGAAUCUUCCGCAAUGGGCGAAAGCCUGACGGAGCAACGCCGCGUGAGUGAAGAAGGUCUUCGGAUCGUAAAACUCUGUUAUUAGGGAAGAACAAAAGUGUAAAUAACUGUGAACGUCUUGACGGUACCUAAUCAGAAAGCCACGGCUAACUACGUG